rnacentral:lncRNA from 1 species
UUUGGAGUCUAGCUAACACAGCAUCUUGGAUGCACUCCUAAGAGAAGACUACCUGAAAGGCGUGUACACUGGUCUAGCAGUUGAGAUCAGCUAGUGUUCCAUCUAUCUUCUGUCAUGUGAGGGAAGACUCUCUGAUCCUCUCAUAAUUUACCUAUUGUUGAUUUCCUGAAUCUUUUUAAAUCCUUUGCAACUGAAGAUGGUCUCUCCAUCAGAGAAGCAAUUAACCAAAUGCCUGACUACAGCGUAUAUAGCAUCUGUUAUAAAAGCAUAAAAGGUUAACUUAAAUCCUGGCACACAAAGGAGAUGUCAGACCAGAACAAAUCAGCAUGGAAAUACCUGGAGGAGAUACAAGGUUAAGGUGGAGCAUAUGUACAGUCAAGAGGAUGUUCAUGACUAGUGGAAUGUGUUUUUCAGAUUGCAAAGACUGGAAGGUGCAGGUGACAAGGAGAUUAAACAAGGUCACUUGUUUUCUUUCCUUCUCUGAAAUAAAGAAGGUCAGUCUGGUAAUAGUGGCCGUAUCACACAAUUUCGACCCAUGGGAUAUAAAUGGAAGUCGACUGUGAUUUUUCCCAGUCAUUGCUUUCUGUUAAUGAGAUCUGUUUUAUUUCUCUUUUCUUUUUUCGUCCUACUAAAAAUGCAUGUGAUUGUCAUAGCUGAAACGAGGAGUUCUUGCUCUGUCACCUAGUCUGGAAUGCAAGGGCACAAUCAUAGCUCACUGCAGCCUCAUACUCCUGGACUCAAAUGAUCCUCCUGCCUCACCCUCCUGAGUAGUUGGGACUACAGGCUAUACUGGUUAUUGUGGAUCCAAAAAUCCUAGGACACAGACUUUGCCCUCAAAUUAUUUACUGCAUAGUGGGUGGCCUGAAAAGCAAACAUAAGCACUAAAUAUGGAAAAAUGCAAAAGGCAAUGGGACCAUAAAAGGAACAGGUCUCUUCUAAGAUGUCUUGAUCGACUGACCCCAAAGCCAGAGGGUACCAGGUCAAAAAGCAAGGUGGUUGAAUGAAAAACUCCAAUAACCACAGAAGACUGAUUUAAUAAUGGAAUACUAAAACAAACAAUACUGACAUUAGAGAGAAGCAAAGUUUCUAUAGAAAACCUAUUACACUGUGGUAUAAAUCAAGAUGAACCUGCAGACAUCUAUUUUAGGUUGGAAGUCUGGAAAAGUUCAAGAUUGGCCAUCUGCAGCUGGUGAGAGCCUCAGGCUGCUUCCCCUCAUGGUGGAAGGUGAAGGGGAGCUGGUGUGUGCAGAGAUUACAUGGUUUUCUAGGUCAUCAUUCUAGGCUUUGUUGAAGCAUGCAUUUUUGGCAUGAGGGUGGCAGCCUUUGCACUAUGUGCAUGGCUGAGGAGUUAGGAUCUGGAGGGUGAUGAAAGGAAAGGUGCUGCUGGUUACUCUUGGUUCAUCUAGCAAUAGAUGAUCUGAAUGUUAGAGUUCGCCAAAUAUUGUUCCUGGGCAGUCUUUGCUCUACCAAAUCAACUUUCUCCAUGGGUUCUUCUAGGGGAGCUAGAAGUCACCCCACAUUCUCCGCCAUGGCCAGCUCUACAUUCUAAGAGGACCAAUGGCUCUACCCAACAUAUUCUUCUCACCACAGAUGACAAAGACACAAGGAGCCAAGACAGAUCAUUCAAGCAUAUUCAUUGCCUCUAUCUUCAUCCCAUUAAAUAACAUCCCGCCAACCAAAGCAAGUUAUCUGCAUAAGAAUAAAUAUUCCACCUACUCUACUGCAAGGCCCUGCAAGAGUCAUGAGACAAAAGGAUCCUCUGUGGACAGCACCCAAGAUGGAAACAACUGACAGUCUAUGGCCAGGGCUAUACUCUGGUGAAACUGAAAGGUGUCUGCAUGGAAGUGUCUGACUACCACCAUCCACUCAGGCAAAUGCAUUUGUUUCCCUCUAUUCAUUAUUAGAAGAGAGGAGAUUACAUACCAGACAUAUACCAAUAGGGAUGGGGUUUCAUCAUGUUGACCAGGCUGGUCUUGCCCUCCCGACCACAGGUGAUCUGCCCGCCUGAGCCUCCCAAAGUGCUGGGAUUACAGGCAUGAGCCACCACGCCUGUCCAAAACUUCUUGACUUAAUAAAGAAAGAAAGAAAGAUUUUCUCUUCAUAAUACCUACGUCAUCUAGUAGCAUAACAUAAGGCAGAAUCCUUCAAAGGUUUUCACCUGAACUUUUCUUGAGCAUCUCUAGACAGUCACAUGCAGAAUAACAACUGGGUUUUAGGUGUACCAAGUUCUUAGUAUGGAAAAAAGAUAUCCUACAAAAUUUUGUCUCUACACAUGUUGAAGUUCAUCUCUCACCCCUCUCUACUCUCUUACUUAUGCUUCAAGCAAAUGGAAUUACUUUUUUUCAUACUGAGACAUUAAAACAGGAAAUCCUUCUUCCUAGGACUCCUGUUCACCACCACUACCUCUACACAUAGGAGAUCCACGUAAGACACUUGCAUCCAAGACAAGUCAGAAUGAUUACAUAUGAAAGUUUUAAUUGCACUGUAUGGGGAUAUUGCUGUGUUGUGAAUUAAAUAAGAAUUCAUAUUUUCU